ensembl:lncRNA
CUGUUACUCCGUGUCCUUCUUGCACAGUUCAAAUGUGCUAUCUCUGAAGUAUUCCCAUUCUUGAGAAAGGCUGUCCUGAUUUCCUUACAAUCAUUUCUAUUUGAACUCUAAACCUUCAGGAAAGAAUACUUUUCAACUCCAUUUUGCUGAUUAAUAGGGAAGAGGAAGCAUUUUUCUUAGUGGUAGUAAUGGAAGCUAUGCUGUGUUCAUUUUUAUUUUAUUAGAGUAGACCUCACGGGCAAAGAGAGUUGGCCCGGGCCAGCUCUCUACAUGGCAGAUCAAGGGGCUUAGAGGUGACAGUGAAACACUGGGUUUGAGCGAAACCGCGUGAGACCUGCUGUGGCGCCAAACUCCUUUACACUGGAUGGUCCAUGUUACUCAUUCAUUUGACAAGUAGGUAUCAGUUUCCUCUCUACUGUGCCGGGCACUGGGGCUGCAGUCCUGGUCUUUAUGGAGCUUGCUUUCUGGCAGAAGUCACUGACAAUGAGCCAGCAAUCAAAUAAGCAUGAUCAUUGCAGAGGAUGGUCACAGGGAUGGGAAGCAAAGAAGACAAGUGCAGGGGCUAGGACGGACUGGGAAAGGCCAUCCUUGGGAGGUGACAAUUGAGCUGAGACUUGCCUGAAUGAUAAGGAGCCAGCCAUUCCAAAAGCAGGGACUUUCAGGAGGCCUGCACUGAAUUCACUUGUGAGCCUCGUUUUGGCCGAAAACCUGAAAGGAGGGACAGAUGUGACAAAUUCAGGAGGAGAAAGGCUUAAUGUGGGGGGCUCUGCCUGGGAUGUGACUUUGCAGGGGCUGCUGUGGAGGUCCUGGAUAGUAGAACAUCAAGUGGCCCCAAAGAGAACACAGACGGCAAAUUGCCCUAUUCCCAGCCUUUACCUUCACCUCUACCCAUGGACUACAGUGGAUAGGUAUUCACAGCCUGUCUUCCUCUGCAGCUUCCCAAGACGUGGACUCUCCACAAGAGCUUAACUCCUUUCUCGUCACAGCUUCCCUGCUGCUUAUUUGUGAAAACUUUGCCCGAUGCUAAGGAAUGAAUGAGGCUUAAGAAGAAAAGACAUGUCAAGGAGAGCACGGAAACAAGCGCUAUUGCUGGAGAAAGUAAUAAAAUCUUGGUGAUGGUUCUCCAGAAGACCCUGUUCUCUCUCCUCAGCUCAGUCUGCCUGUUGGGAGCAAAGUCUCUUUUUCCAUCAGAGGAAGAAGCAUCCAUGAGGAGAAGUUAAAUCCCACACAGGAACAGGACCGUGUGCUGCUCACUGCUGCAGCUCAGUGCCCAGGUGGUGCCUGGCCCACAACAAUGGCUCAAUCCAUGUUGAGUGAAAUGCCCCAGCCACUCGGGCUCUCAGCAGAGCAGUUUGGAAACCUGCACUCCAUCCUUCUGCUUCUGCAAAUGUCCACAAGUGUGUCUUUGUAGAACAGAAAUUUGAAGGAACAAGUGAGUGAGCAAAUGAGGGUGUCCAUCCACUGUGUGUAGGCAGCCCUGCGGCCUGAAUCUAUGGAGGUCGCUGUUUACCAAGAAGCUCAGUCUUGAAAUGCAUUGUCACUCCACUUAACGGCCACAGCUUACAUUUUAAUAAAAUCUGGAAAUGUGA